AUUGAACGCUGGCGGAAUGCUUUACACAUGCAAGUCGAGCGGCAGCGCGGGGCAACCUGGCGGCGAGCGGCGAACGGGUGAGUAAUACAUCGGAACGUGCCAGACGUGGGGGAUAACUACUCGAAAGAGUGGCUAAUACCGCAUACGAUCUAAGGAUGAAAGCGGGGGAUCGCAAGACCUCGCGCGUUUGGAGCGGCCGAUGGCAGAUUAGGUAGUUGGUGGGGUAAAGGCUUACCAAGCCCGCGAUCUGUAGCUGGUCUGAGAGGAUGAUCAGCCACACUGGGACUGAGACACGGCCCAGACUCCUACGGGAGGCAGCAGUGGGGAAUUUUGGACAAUGGGCGAAAGCCUGAUCCAGCCAUUCCGCGUGCAGGAUGAAGGCCCUCGGGUUGUAAACUGCUUUGUACUAGAACGAAAAAGACUCUUUCUAAUACUAGAGAGUCCAUGACGGUACUGUAAGAAUAAGCACGCUAACUACGUAGCCAGCAGCCGCGGUAA
rnacentral:rRNA from 1 species